UUUCAACACAUAGCAGGAAGUAAAACACAAAAGUAAUUCAUCCAAAAGAAGUAUAGAAUACAAAAUGUGAAUACUUGCACAGAAAACAUAAACCAGCCUGCAGUGACCUAACAGAAAGAAAGCCAGAAGAAUAAAUAUCUCAAUCUCACUUGCCCUUCCUCCCAAUUUCUCCUGGAGCUCUGCUCUGGCUAGAUCCAAGAAGAGAAGAAACAAGGGAUCCCUGCCAUGUAGACCACACAGCUCAAGUUCCCAUUUGUAUCAGAAGAACUUUACAAUGUAUCUACAGGUAAGAGAAAGGGAAUUGAAAACAACAACAACAAAAGCAACUACAACAAGGAAGACUCAUAGAGGAAGUGACGAAAAAGAUGCCACAGAAACAGAAGUUCUGCAUGCGAGAGGCAAGAGGUAACUUAAAGCAGAGAUUUAAAAACAAAGCAAAAAAAAAAAAAACCCUACACAUAUUCUAUGCUCAAAACUUAAUCUUCUUUCUUUUUCUGUCAACCCUUCAUCUUUUUUCUUUAUUUUUCAGGACUUGCUGAGCUGGUGUUUUUAAAAUUUGACAAUAGUGCUCCAAGUAGAAACAAAAAAGUACAUGCAACAAAAUGGAAAAAUCUUUGUAAAUAAAAAUUAGUGAAAAAAGUCAACUGUCAAUAGAGUAUGAUAUCAUUUGUAAAAUCAUCAAAAUCAAGCAAAGGAAAACCAUAUAUUGUUUAUACAUAUAUAGCAUAUAUGUGAUAAAGCUGU
rnacentral:lncRNA from 1 species